CAACCCCUGUGACAUACCACUUGUUGCCUCGGCGGAUCAGCCCGCUCCCGGUAAAACGGGACGGCCCGCCAGAGGACCCCUAAACUCUGUUUCUAUAUGUAACUUCUGAGUAAAACCAUAAAUAAAUCAAAACUUUCAACAACGGAUCUCUUGGUUCUGGCAUCGAUGAAGAACGCAGCAAAAUGCGAUAAGUAAUGUGAAUUGCAGAAUUCAGUGAAUCAUCGAAUCUUUGAACGCACAUUGCGCCCGCCAGUAUUCUGGCGGGCAUGCCUGUUCGAGCGUCAUUUCAACCCUCAAGCACAGCUUGGUGUUGGGACUCGCGUUAAUUCGCGUUCCCCAAAUUGAUUGGCGGUCACGUCGAGCUUCCAUAGCGUAGUAGUAAAACCCUCGUUACUGGUAAUCGUCGCGGCCACGCCGUUAAACCCCAACUUCUGAAUGUUGACCUCGGAUCAGGUAGGAAUACCCGCUGAACUUAAGCAUAUCA
rnacentral:rRNA from 1 species